GAUGAACGCUGGCGGUAUGCUUAACACAUGCAAGUCGAACGGUCUUUUAGGAGACAGUGGCGGACGGGUGAGUAACGCGUAAGAAUCUACCCUCAGGUCGGGGACAACCACUGGAAACGGUGGCUAAUACCGGAUGUGCCGAGAGGUGAAAGGCUUGCUGCCUGGGGAAGAGCUUGCGUCUGAUUAGCUAGUUGGUAGUGUAAGGGACUACCAAGGCGACGAUCAGUAGCUGGUCUGAGAGGAUGAUCAGCCACACUGGGACUGAGACACGGCCCAGACUCCUACGGGAGGCAGCAGUGGGGAAUUUUCCGCAAUGGGCGAAAGCCUGACGGAGCAAUACCGCGUGAGGGAGGAAGGCUCUUGGGUUGUAAACCUCUUUUCUCAGGGAAGAACAGAAUGACGGUACCUGAGGAAUAAGCAUCGGCUAACUCCGUGCCAGCAGCCGCGGUAAUACGGAGGAUGCAAGCGUUAUCCGGAAUGAUUGGGCGUAAAGAGUCCGUAGGUGGCAUUGAAAGUCUGCUGUUAAAGAGUCUAGCUCAACUAGAUAAAAGCAGUGGAAACUACAAAGCUAGAGUUUGGUCGGGGCAGAAGGAAUUCCUGGUGUAGCGGUGAAAUGCGUAGAUAUCAGGAAGAACACCGGUGGCGAAGGCGUUCUGCUAGGCCGAGACUGACACUGAGGGACGAAAGCUAGGGGAGCGAAUGGGAUUAGAUACCCCAGUAGUCCUAGCCGUAAACGAUGGAUACUAGGCGUAGCUCGUAUCGACCCGAGCUGUGCCGGAGCUAACGCGUUAAGUAUCCCGCCUGGGGAGUACGCAGGCAACUGUGAAACUCAAAGGAAUUGACGGGGGCCCGCACAAGCGGUGGAGUAUGUGGUUUAAUUCGAUGCAACGCGAAGAACCUUACCAAGGCUUGACAUGUCACGAAUCCUGUAGAAAUAUAGGAGUGCCUUAGGGAGCGUGAACACAGGUGGUGCAUGGCUGUCGUCAGCUCGUGUCGUGAGAUGUUGGGUUAAGUCCCGCAACGAGCGCAACCCUCGUUUUUAGUUGCCAGCAUUAAGAUGGGCACUCUAGAGAGACUGCCGGUGACAAACCGGAGGAAGGUGGGGAUGACGUCAAGUCAGCAUGCCCCUUACGUCUUGGGCUACACACGUACUACAAUGCUACGGACAAAGGGCAGCUACACAGCGAUGUGAUGCGAAUCUCAUAAACCGUAGCUCAGUUCAGAUCGAAGGCUGCAACUCGCCUUCGUGAAGGAGGAAUCGCUAGUAAUUGCAGGUCAGCAUACUGCAGUGAAUUCGUUCCCGGGCCUUGUACACACCGCCCGUCACACCAUGGAAGUUGGUCACGCCCGAAGUCGUUACCCCAACCUAUUGGAGGGGGAUGCCUAAGGUAGGACUGAUGACUGGGGUGAC
rnacentral:rRNA from 1 species